GGAUCAUCACGUCCGACAGCUUUUUCACCGACUGGAUCAGCGCCCCGACAAUUGUCUUCAGCCCUGACCGUGGACGCCUUGGAAUUGCCACGGACUCUCAGCCACUAAGCGAAUGAACUUUGAGCUCAGUGGGCUAUUGCCUGACCUGUGGAAGAAUGCAGAAGCACACAGAGAGGCCUACUAAAUGUCUCUAGGUUAGCACUCCCAAGGUAUGUUCUACAGAGUUCUAAUCUCCCAACCGGGGCCCUUAAAUAAGGGGCUUGAUGAUGUUUGGGAAACCUGGCCCCUACAGUUUGCUCUUAGAAUGCCAUUAUAUAGAUAAUUCUGUCAAAGUCCUGCAGAAGCAAACAGAAACUUUAAUGCCGUAUUUUCUUAAAUUCUUUUCAAAAGGACCCUUUUUCUUAUAAUGACUAUUCGUUCCCAAGGACCAGCAGGAUUUAUUUUGACAAGCUCUAGGCUGAAGAGCUAGAAACAUCACUGCAUUCGAUCUCUUCGGACAGACAAAAACAUAAACCAUUCUAAUGGUACAGGGCAGGGCUUCCAGGGGCCGAUCCUCAUCGAUGGAAGGAUCAUAACUUCUUCCUUGGGUCUGAUCAUUGUGUCUUUGCCUUUCUCUCUCUCUUAUCCUGGUGUGGAAACCAAAUGCGCAGCAGCCUCCUUUGGGAACCCUCCUGAGCCCAGAGAAUGCGGGAGCCUGUCACAGAGGACGGGCUGGCGACCUCGACUCAGCGGCCAGUGUGAAGUGAGCCUGAAGAUGCCCUCAGGCCCUUGCUCACGCCAUCAAAAUGACGCUGAAGUCCAGCCAGUUCCAGGGGUCCCGG